AGGAAGCACGGGCUAAGUUCGUGCCAGCAGCCGCGGUAAGACGAACCGUGCGAACGUUGUUCGGAAUCACUGGGCUUAAAGGGCGCGUAGGCGGGCUACCAAGUCUGUGGUGAAAUCCCCCGGCUCAACCGGGGAACGGCCGUGGAUACUGGGAGCCUCGAGGGAGAUAGGGGCAGGCGGAACUGAUGGUGGAGCGGUGAAAUGCGUUGAUAUCGUCAGGAACUCCGGUGGCGAAGGCGGCCUGCUGGAUCUCAUCUGACGCUGAGGCGCGAAAGCCAGGGGAGCAAACGGGAUUAGAUACCCCGGUAGUCCUGGCCCUAAACGAUGGGUACUAGGUAGUAGGCCAGACAUGGGCUUACUGCCGGAGCAAAAGUGCUAAGUACCCCGCCUGGGGAGUAUGGUCGCAAGGCUGAAACUCAAAGGAAUUGACGGGGGCUCACACAAGCGGUGGAGCAUGUGGCUUAAUUCGAGGCUACGCGAAGAACCUUAUCCUGGACUUGACAUGUGCGAAAGCGCUAGGUAGUAGAACCCGGAAACGGGAACGAACCCCGCAAGGGGGAGCCUAGUACAGGUGCUGCAUGGCUGUCGUCAGCUCGUGUCGUGAGAUGUCGGGUUAAGUCCCAUAACGAGCGAAACCCUUACCCUCAGUUGCUAUUAUAGGACUCUGGGGGGACUGCCGGUGUCAAACCGGAGGAAGGUGGGGAUGACGUCAAGUCCUCAUGGCCUUUAUGUCCAGGGCUGCACACGUGCUACAAUGGCGUGAACAAAGGGAUGCGAAAGCGCGAGCUGGAGCCAAUCCCAAAAAGCACGCCCCAGUUCAGAUCGCAGGCUGCAACUCGCCUGCGGAAGCCGAAUCG
rnacentral:rRNA from 1 species